AAAGCGUGGGGAGCGAACAGGAUUAGAUACCCUGGUAGUCCACGCCGUAAACGGUGGGUACUAGGUGUGGUUUCCUUCCUUGGGAUCCGUGCCGUAGCUAACGCAUUAAGUACCCCGCCUGGGGAGUACGGCCGCAAGGCUAAAACUUAAAGGAAUUGACGGGGGCCCGCACAAGCGGCGGAGCAUGUGGAUUAAUUCGAUGCAACGCGAAGAACCUUACCUGGGUUUGACAUGCACAGGACGCGUCUAGAGAUAGGCGUUCCCUUGUGGCCUGUGUGCAGGUGGUGCAUGGCUGUCGUCAGCUCGUGUCGUGAGAUGUUGGGUUAAGUCCCGCAACGAGCGCAACCCUUGUCUCAUGUUGCCAGCGGGUAAUGCCGGGGACUCGUGAGAAACUGCCGGGGUCAACUCGGAGGAAGGUGGGGAUGACGUCAAGUCAUCAUGCCCCUUAUGUCCAGGGCUUCACACAUGCUACAAUGGCCGGUACAAAGGGCUGCGAUGCCGCAAGGUUAAGCGAAUCCUUUUAAAGCCGGUCUCAGUUCGGAUC
rnacentral:rRNA from 1 species